rnacentral:lncRNA from 1 species
GGCAGCUUCAGGCUCUAGCUCUCGGACUCAAGCGCAGCAUCCUCGCUGCGGCUACGGCUGCUGCACCUGGUCAGCACCACGACCACCGCCAUCAACAUUUCUCUUCCUCCAUCAGAGCUCUUCAAGUUCUGCAAAAGCAGACUCUGUUCAGGCAUGCUGGGUGGCAUCACGUUUUUGACAUCUCAAAGCCUGGAGCCUGCCCAAGCGAAGGUCGAUAGAGGUAAGAAGGGGGACUCAGUCAUUGCUGCACCUUGAACCUCUGCUCAUGAUCA